rnacentral:rRNA from 1 species
CCUACGGGAGGCAGCAGUGAGGAAUAUUGGUCAAUGGGCGGGAGCCUGAACCAGCCAAGUCGCGUGAGGGAAGACGGUCCUAUGGAUUGUAAACCUCUUUAGGCGGGGAGCAAUGCCGGGCACGCGUGCCCGGAGGGAGAGUACCCGCAGAAUAAGCAUCGGCUAACUCCGUGCCAGCAGCCGCGGUAAUACGGGGGAGGGGAGGGGUAUCCUGAUUUUGUGGGUUUAAAGGGUGCGUAGGCGGAUUUUUAAGUCAGCGGUAAACUGUCCGGGCUCAACCCGGGCCGGCCGUUGAAACUGGGGGGCUUGAGUGGGCGAGAAGUAUGCGGAAUGCGUGGUGUAGCGGUGAAAUGCAUAGAUAUCACGCAGAACUCCGAUUGCGAAGGCAGCAUACCGGCGCCCGACUGACGCUGAGGCACGAAAGCGUGGGGAUCGAACAGGAUUAGAUACCCGAGUAGUC